rnacentral:lncRNA from 1 species
GUGCAGGAGCACAUGAAGUCUGACGUUUUUGUCGAGUCAGGAUCCAGGGCUUCUGCCCACAUCCCUUUCCAAUCAAGUCACACCAGAUUGAGCUAAUUCCAUGUCCUGAGCUCUUACUAUGUGCCAAGUGCCAGUGAGUCCCAGCAGGUGGAGAGAUGCAUGAGCCAGAAGAAACAAUUCCCCAUGUCCUCAACAGCUUGUGACUGGCGAGGAAGAUGGAAGCACAACCAACAAAAUCACAACACAAUGUGAUGCAGCAAAGAUGAAGCAUGAGGACAAGGCAUUGCCCUUGCAUAGAGGAGGUGGCAGGGCUGGAAGAAGGAGGUACUGGACCAGCAGAGGUCAUGUCGGAGCAGAUACUUGAAGACACUGUGGCUUCACCGGGACACAUGCACACAGAGAAACAUGUGCAGCAUCACAAAGGGUGAAAAACCCUGGUGUGCUCAGAGAUCCCUCUUCGUAUCUUUCAUAGUCUACCUGCCAAAGUGAGACCUGGGCUUCUUUAGAAUGACAGACCCAAAGAGGUGCCUCAAUGCCAUCACUCAAUAGCUGAUUGAAGCCCCAGCCAGCAGAUGCUGGGAGCAGCUGACCUUGGCCGAGCCCAUUGAUGGCAGAGGUAAGGAGCUGGCUCUCCAGGACAGAUGUCCUCAGGUUACAUGUGCAGCCGUCAGGCUUCUGCCUGAGCCACCUCCAAGCAAAUCUGCAGCCUUCUGGACUCUGUAAUGCACUGCAUGAGGCUGGGUUGAUGUCAAAUAAACUUGCAUCCCAAUUCUGGCCCAGAAAUUUUUCAUCUGUGUGACCCUGGGCAAGUCACUUUAUGUCCCUGACUGCAGUUAGCUUAUAUGCACAAAGAGGUUAUUUAAAUCCGUCUCCAAGAGUGGUUGUGGGGCUGGAAACAUGUGUAUAGCCAGUCUGGCACACAGUGGAGCUUAGUAGCUAUGAGAAAGGAAUGUUACUAAUCCCGUAAGGCUGGUGCGGGGGUGUGCAAGGACUCCUUGGAAGCAGAGGUUGGCAAGGGCCAGAGCUUCAGAACCUGUGGAAACAGGUGAAGACUUCUUUGAGAAAUCAAGUCUGUCUACUCUCCCGGGCUGCUUGAGUCAUCGGUUGACCCAGAUGUAGCCUUGGGCAGGUAUGCCACCAUCUUUACCCCUGCGUGACACUCCUAACAAGCCAGGACUCUACACCUGUGUGGAUGAGAUCACCACCAACCCACGCACACCUCCUCCCAGGACAGGUCCUGACCUUUGACCUUUGGGCUCCUCCCAGAGCUCUUCCAACCACCUGUAAACCAAAAAUAAAAUUCUAAGCCUCCCAACCAACUGUUGGACCUUCAUCUUGGCCAAAAGCAUUCCAAAAUAAACCCGAAAAUCUAGUUCAAGCCAUGAUGGGAAGGGAAGGUCAGACAUACCUCAUGAUACCCUCAUCCCUUUGGAAUUCAGGCACAACUGACCAGCAUUAGCAUGAAAACAAAGAUCUUUAGAAUGACAAAACAGAAUAUUUGGUAGCAAUAAGAUACCAAAUUCCAACCUAAUUCUAAUAUAGUAUCACAUGAAAAAUAGCAGGCCCUGAAAGAAAUUUUACCACAAAAGUAUUU